GAAGGCUGAACUCCGUGCAAAAAAACGCGAUGAAGUGUUGCUCGGAGU
rnacentral:ncRNA from 1 species